rnacentral:sRNA from 1 species
UGCUAACGAUGCGCUGAAUGUGCGCUUAAUCACUUCAAACAUCAGGCAAGUCUCAGUAUGAUGAAGGGACAUUAACCCUUGCCCCUUUCGGCGAGGGUUUUCUUUUACG